rnacentral:lncRNA from 1 species
CUUUGCCGUCAACCCGCACUUCCGCUUCGCCUUAGCUUAGCCCGCACAUAGCUGCCACAACCAAUGUCAUGCCGACUGUCUUUGGCGCGCAUGCCGUACCAUGCCGCCCCAUUUUGCCGAUGCUGCCUUGUCAAGCCCUUUCCAAGCAAACCUUGUCCGCCGCAAGGUCUUGGCCUUGCUUGCCCAUCCCAGCCUGUCGACCCGCAUGAUAGUUUUCGCCCGCACAUAGGCCAAUGGCAAGGCCAUCACGCCACAAU